UGCCUCAGUAACGGCGAGUGAAGCGGCAACAGCUCAAAUUUGAAAUCUGGCCCCCGGCCCGAGUUGUAAUUUGCAGAGGAUGUUUCUGGCGAGGUGCCUUCCGAGUUCCCUGGAACGGGACGCCAUAGAGGGUGAGAGCCCCGUACGGUUGGUCGCUAAGCCUCUGUGAAACUCCUUCGACGAGUCGAGUAGUUUGGGAAUGCUGCUCUAAAUGGGAGGUAUACGUCUUCUAAAGCUAAAUACCGGCUAGAGACCGAUAGCGCACAAGUAGAGUGAUCGAAAGAUGAAAAGCACUUUGAAAAGAGGGUUAAAUAGUACGUGAAAUUGUUGAAAGGGAAGCGCUUAUGACCAGACUUGGGCCGGUUGAUCAUCCAUCGUUCUCGGUGGUGCACUCUGCCGGCUCAGGCCAGCAUCAGUUUGGCUCGGGGGAUAAAGGCUUUGGGAAUGUGGCUCUCUCCGGGGAGUGUUAUAGCCCACUGCGUAAUACCCUGCGCUGGACUGAGGUACGCGCUCCGCAAGGAUGCUGGCGUAAUGGUCAUCAGCGACCCGUCUUGAAACACGGACCAAGGAGUCGUCUUCGUAUGCGAGUGUUCGGGUGUCAAACCCCUACGCGUAAUGAAAGUGAACGUAGGAGAGAGCUUCGGCGCAUCUCCGACCGAUCCUGAUGUUCUCGGAUGGAUUUGAGUAAGAGCAUACGGGGCCGGACCCGAAAGAANGUGAACUAUGCCUGUAUAGGGUGAAGCCAGAGGAAACUCUGGUGGAGGCUCGCAGCGGUUCUGACGUGCAAAUCGAUCGUCAAAUAUGGGCAUGGGGGGCGAAAGACUAAUCGAA
rnacentral:rRNA from 1 species